GGUUGGGAGUUCGGGGGUGGAGGGGGAUGAGUGAAAGAGGUUUGUUAUGUCAUUGAUGCAAGAGACUGGGAGAUGGGGUGAUGGGGGCUUGAGAGAGCAGUGAACGGGGGUCUUGCGGACCUAAUAGUGGACAAAGUGAUGAGGCUAGAUAGGAUUAAGUGAGUCUUACUAAUCUUUGGCUUAUACACAUUUUCUAGCACAGUGAUCUCCCCUCUUUAGAUGGGCCCCCUUGUCUCCAUCUAACAGUGUACCGCUCGUGGGAGUCGUGGGGAACAGUGCUGGAUUGAAGGGUGCUGGAUUGAAUCAGCCUUCAAAGGCUUCUUUACAGUGCCUGAGCUAGACGGCCCCAGUGAGGUGAGAGAAGAGGAAAAAUAACAUCUUAGAGCCUUAGCGACCUUUGGACAUUUUGAGGUCUGAGGAGGGAUAACAGCUCAGCUUUCAUACAUCUGUUUUCUCAAGAAAAGCAGGAAAUGGCAAAACUCCAGAGUCUCUCUGUAUGCAGUCCUGGCUGACUUCAAGCUCACUGUUUAGCCCAGGGUGAUCUGAAACUCAAGAUCCUCCUGUCUCCAACUGCCAAAUGCUGAAAUUGCAGGUAAGUAGCACAUCACGUAACUCAUCCUUACUUUUUAUACAACUAGUAUUAAUUGCGUUUGAAGCAUAUUCUUGUAGAUAACAUACAGUUGAGUUCAUUAGACUGUUGGAACUAUCAUCACAAAGUACCACAGACUAGAUGCCUUAAAUAAUCAAACUUUCUCUUUGCACAGGUCUAGAACUCCAAGAUCAAAGUCCUCUCUUCUCUGACAUAUUGUUUGGUUACA